GACGUCGAUGUUCGACGUCAUAAACACCAUAUCAACUUAGAUAUUUAUGACGUUGAUAUUCGACGUCAUAAACACGAUCAACUUAUAUUUUUAUGACGUUGAUAUUCGUUGUCAUAAACACAAUCAACUUAGAUAUUUAUGACGUUGAUAUUCGACGUCAUAAACACGGUCAACUUAGAUGUUUAUGACGUCGAUAUUCGACGUC
rnacentral:miRNA from 1 species